rnacentral:misc_RNA from 1 species
AAUUAUCAACCCAAAAAGUUUAUUCUUUUUGCGGCUUGGACUUGGGGGUUUGCUGGCUUCCUUCAGUGGAUGGUCUGCUCCCCUUAAAUGCAUUAGCGGGAUCUCUUGUGGACCGUCACUUGGUGUGAUAAUUAUCUAUGCCACGUUGACUUUGAAGCAAAACUUAUGGGAACCUGCUUAUAACCGUCCCUUGUGGACAACUUUAUUGACA